rnacentral:rRNA from 1 species
CCCCCUCCCCCACGACUGCACAACGCGAAGAACCUUACCAGGCCUUGACAUGCAGAGAACUUUCCAGAGAUGGAGAGGUGCCUUCGGGAACUCUGACACAGGUGCUGCAUGGCUGUCGUCAGCUCGUGUCGUGAGAUGUUCGGGUUAAGUCCCGUAACGAGCGCAACCCUUGUCCUUAGUUACCAGCACGUCGUGGUGGGCACUCUAAGGAGACUGCCGGUGACAAACCGGAGGAAGGUGGAGAUGACGUCAAGUCAUCAUGGCCCUUACGGCCUGGGCUACACACGUGCUACAAUGGUCGGUACAGAGGGUUGCCAAGCCGCGAGGUGGAGCUAAUCUCACAAAACCGAUCGUAGUCCGGAUCGCAGUCUGCAACUCGACUGCGUGAAGUCGGAAUCGCUAGUAAUCGCGAAUCAGAAUGUCGCGGUGAAUACGUUCCCGGGUCUUGUACACACCG